CUCGCCUACAUGAAGUCGGAAUUGCUAGUAAUCGCGGAUCAGCAUGCCGCGGUGAAUACGUUCCCGGGCCUUGUACACACCGCCCGUCACACCAUGGGAGUCGGUAACACCCGAAGCCUGUAGUCUAACCGCAAGGGGGACGCAGUCGAAGGUGGGAUUGAUGACUGGGGUGAAGUCGUAACAAGGUAGC
rnacentral:rRNA from 1 species